ACACUUAGCAUAAAGCAAUGUGCCAGUUACAGUUCAGAUUUUCCUAUCCCAGCACUGGUUCUCACAGCAGUUUCUACUCAUUAGUCUCUGCUCUGGUGUGAGCUUUUCAAGCUUAUCAUGUUCUACCAGGAGAGAGAGGGAGAGAAAGAAGAAGAUGGAGGAGAAAGAGCAAGGGCAGGAGGAAGGAAGGGAAGAAGGAGAGAGGAAGAAAGAAAGGAAAGAACAUUAAAAAAAGGAAAAAGAAGAGAGGAAGAAGGAAGGAAAGAUGGAAGAAAAGACAAAACAAGAAAUCUUGCUUGGAGUUUUUUAGAUUAUUCUUCAAGCCAAGUAUCAAUUUAUACUAACAAUUUGUCCUACUUGGCAUAUCUCUCAAUUUGCUUAGAUUUGUUAAUGUAUAUCAAUACAAAUGCUUAUUUUUGAAAAGCCAUGUCAUGUCUUUUCAAAACUUAUUCCUUGUUGACUCAUGUAUUAUAGUUGUUAUUGCAAAUGGUAACUUUUUGAAACUAAGUUCUUUUCUACCUGCUUACUAAAUAAAAAUGCAAAUAACUCGUAAAUUUGCUUUAUAUCAAAAUAAUUUAUUUAAGAUAAUUUAUAUUUAAAGUAAUUGACAUCUUAUUAAUUCUAAUCUUUUCUCUCAAUUUUAAUUUGGGCAUAUACAUCAUAAUGACCACUGGUUAAAGCACUUUUCCAAACCAUAAAAUUUAUUUCUUUAACUUUCUUACUGUAAUAAAUAAUAGUUCCAGUGAAAGAGCUAAGCAAAGUGGUAUUAGUGGGUAUCUUGUUCUUGUUUUCAAUAGAAAUUAUUUCAUUAAUAUUUUUAAAAAUACUGUACAUUUACUGUAAGUGUUUAACAGCCCUUCUCAUAUUAAGCAAGUUCUCAUCCACUUCUAGUUUGCUAAAAAAUAUUUUUAACAUCAUGAAUAUGUGUUGGAGUUCAUUGAAUACAUCCAUUAGUUGUACCUGUCAACAUAAAUAUAUGAUUUUCUUUUAGUAUUUUAUGCUUUAAUUACAUAAUCAUGUUAUUCAAUGUUAAUUCCACUUUAUAUACCUGAGGUACUCUCAACUAAAUCACAAGGUAAUACAAAUUAUUGGGGUUUGCUAAUAUUUUAACAUUGAUUUUUACAUUUAUACUUACGAAUAAAAUCACUCUGAUAUUUUCCUUACUUAAAUAAUCUCUGUGACAUUUUGUAACCAAUUUUAUACCAACUUCAUGAGAAAAAUAAAUUGGAAGUGCUUCCAUAUUUUCUAUCUACUGUGAUAAUAUUUUCAAGAUUAGAACCAUUUCUGAAUAUGUGAUAGACUUUGUUGAAAUAUUAUGGACCUGGAGUUUCAUCUGUGAAAAUAAUUUUAGCAAAUGAUUUUAUUUAUUCAUAAUUGUAAACCUGACCAUGUUUUAAAUAUCCUUUUGAAUCAGUUUUGGUAACAUAAUUUUCUGUGAUUUAUAUAUUCAUCUGAGUUUGUCAAUUUCUUCACAUAAAAUUUAUACCGUUCUCAUUAUAAUUUUAGCUAUAUCAAUGUUAUGCCACCUCUUUCAUCACUGAUAUUAUUUCUUUGUGCUUUCUCUCUUUUCAUCUUGAGAAAGUUUGCCAGGAGUUUCCGUUUGCUUUCAAAAAAGCAACUAUUUGAUUUGUUGAUCCUCUUUAUUACAUUUCUGCUGUUUUACUUCAUUCUGCUAUUAUGUUAAGUAUUUCAUUACUUCUACUGUGAUUAAUUUAUUUUAAAGUUCACUUUCUAAGUGCUUAAGUUUUAUACUUAGUUGUUUUUAAUCUUCCUUUCUUUCCAAAAAAUCUACAUUUAAAAUGAUAGUCUUCUAAUUAUUCAUUUAGUUACAUUCCAUAAUUGUGCUAUAUAAUAUGAUUCCUUAUUUGACAUUGAGUUAUUUUUGUGUGUUUUAAAUUUUCAAGCAUUUGCUUGUAUCUUAUUUGGUUAUCUUUUAGCUAUUAUUUUCUAAAUUAAUUACAUUGUGGUUAGAGAUAGUAUCCUGUAUUAUACAGGUGUUUUAAAGCUUAUGGAGAUUUCUUUUCUGCACAGAACAGUUAAGUUUUUACUUAUAUUCUGUUAGUACCUUAAAACAACGUGUAUUUUCGGAUUGAGGAAUACAGGAUCAAUAUUUGUCCAUUAGAGUGAGCAUAUUAUGCUUUUCCUAAAUCUUACACAUUUUUGUUGAGUUUAGUAAGUUGCAUUAUAUAUCAGUUGAAGAUAAAAUUUGGUUAAAUAUCCCUAUAUGGUGGUGGAUUUGUCAAUAUUUCUUUGUCAUGAGUAUUUAGAAACUGUUUGUAGUUUCAUUCAAGUUUGGAAUUAUUAUGUCUUUCUAGUAAAUUAAAACACUUAUUGUUAUGCAGUGAUCGCCUUAUCUCCAAUAGAUUUUUGUAUUAUAAUGUAUUUUUUCCUAUGUCAAUGUAGCUAUGCAAGUUUCAGUUUUUUCUUUUAUUCCUAAUUUGCAUUACAUGUCUUUAAAAAUCCUUUUGUCAUAUUCUAAUUGUUGGGUACAGAGUUCUGUUCAUUAAAUCAAACAUUACUGAUGAUAUUCAAAUAUUCUGUACCUUUACUCAUUUUUAUCUGCUUGAUAUAGCUGUUACUGAACAUUCAUAACAUUUUAUAUCAUAAAACUUUGAUAUACAUGCCCUGUGUAUUAGUCCUUUCUCAUGCCUCUAAUAAAGACUUACCCAAGAGGGGGUAAUUUACAAAGGAAAGAGGUUUAACUGAUUCACAGUUCAGCAUGACUGGGGAGGCCUCAGGAAAGUUACAAUCAUGGCAGAAGGGGAAGCAAACACAUCUUUAAUCACAAGAAGGCAGGAAGGAGAAGAAUGAGAGCUGAGUGAGCAGGGAGGCCCCUUGUAAAACCAUCAGAUCUUGUGUGAGAACUUACUAUCAUGAGAACAGCAUGGGGGA
rnacentral:lncRNA from 1 species